rnacentral:lncRNA from 1 species
UAGCAAACUCUUCAGCUUCUUAAACAAGGAAGAAGAAACUUGGACUUCUUGGAUCUAAACCUCAAGCUCUACUUUUUCUCUUUAGCCCAAGUCUCUUCAAACACUUCAUUUCUAAGGUAGCUUCUUGAUAGAAACCCACAACAAAGCUUGGUCGGGCAACCCUUACACUUUGGCUUUAACUCUUACAAAAAAAUCUCAAGUUUUCUCUACUUCUUCUCUCUACCUGGCUCUUGAAGUGAAAAUGGUGAAAACUGAGAGAAAUGGGUCUUUUGCACUCACAUGAAACUAUGCGUCCGAAAAACGCUAAACCCUCUCGUGCUAGAAAUUUUCAAAAAUCUAUCUGUCACGCAUCCUUUAAUAAUCUCGACCAAAAUCGGCCCGAGAUCCUUCAAGAUCUGCACUUUUCUUAGCCAGACAUACCUGAAACCCUACCCAAGAAUCCUAAUAAUUUCCUAUUCUACUUCCAGACCCAGCCGAACAUGACUUCGAGAUGGACUGAGACACAACUCCAAAACCAUUAUGUCUUUCAACUCAGUCGACAAGCGCCAAGAUGCUCAUGUCUCAAUACAAGAAUUUUCUCUCUUUUCCAUCUCGCUCGAGACUACUCAAGGCUAGUCCAAAAUUCUUGCUUUUGUCCUUUCUAUGCCUUUUCUCUCGGUCGAACAAAACUAAGUCUGAACAUCUUUGUCCUAUGAUCUUUGCCUUAGCCCGAAACUCUUGGACAAUUGAUCUGAACUCACCUUUCAAUCUUUAUCAAGCCAAUGUGAUAGAAGAUAUGGGUAGUACAUCUAAUGAGCGAGAUUAUUGCUCGGAGGAUAUAUAUUUGAAACAGAGAUGCUAUCUUAGAGGAAACAUUGAGAGGGGAUGUCGAUCUCAUAGGUUUGACCGUUAGUAUUGUGUCCGCUCUACUAUCGCAACAGAGAUGGAAUUGGUAUUGAUUUAGCUCUCAUUUUUAGGACUUGUUUUAUGGUAGAGAGAGGAAAGCUAGUUUGAAUAUCUAUUUAAAAUUAUUUGCAAAGAUUAAAUUAUUUAACAUGAUUUGCUGAGUUGAACUAUCUAGAAAUGUAUUCAUAAGUUUGUCACUUAAAUGUUUUAAGCUUAAUUUGUUCUAGAAACUUGGUCAAUUACUGGAUUUUUUGUAGCUUACCCUUUCAAAAUAUUUUUCUACUUCUCAAGUAGACAUCGAGCUCCCGAUACCUGGCAUGGUGCCAUUAGUCCACUAGAAGUUUCCCACACCAUUUUCAGUAUGUGUGUGUUGUGCUGUAUAUUGUGUCUGUACAUUUGUGUAUGUGAGUCGAUAAAAGUUUGUUUGUUCGUGGGAGUAUAUGUUAGUCUUCUUUAUUAUUAUAAUUUUGGGCUGGUAAUGCCUAAGAAAGAUUAGUUAAACCUUUAACAAAUAGGUUGGGCUGGGUUAUGACAUGGUACAAAUUAAGUACAAGUUUAUGUUGCUAUGUUACUUGUUGAUUUCAUAUGAAAGUAUUUGUUCAAAGUUUAGUUUAGCAAAGUCAACAGAUGUCAUUAAAAUAGAACGAUGUUUGUUAACUUCACACCAUCUCUUGGGCAAAGAGUAGGUGAUUCGAGAGGGGGCGUGACAUUUUGUGCUCUAAAUUUCAUACAAACCCAAAGAACAUUUAAUUGCUUUCUUUACUUUUCUUGCAUACGUUCUCACAAAACCCCACUUUCCUAUAUUAAAAUUCUUGAUUCUUGAUUGAACAUUUGUG